GGAAAGGCUAACAUUGAUAACACAAGAAGUCACGUCACAAGUUUAUGCUUUCAAGCUCAUUGUUGUAAAAAUACAAAUGAUCACCAUCUCUAAUGACAUUUACAUCAUCAAUCUCAGCGUUUUCCGCACUGGUGACCAUUGUAAGAUUAUGAGCUUCGACAAAUCUUUCCCCUGUGACUUCAAGUGGAUGGUAACUCUCCUAUCUUCCGGCUUAGCAGCUUCUUGUUUACUGAAUUUGCAAUAUGGAUAUGUUUCCGGUGAAGGAAACUUAAAUGAAGUGAGAUCUGCAUGAGAGCAACUCUUCCCAUUAACAUCUUUGUUUGCUUUUUCCCCUUCUUCUAUCUCAAUCCUAUGUUCUUGAGUUCUUCUGGUUGACUCCAAAUCAAUACUCUCUGAAUCAUUUAUUUGUAAGUAUUUGUGCCCCUUUCCUUGACCACUGGCGUUUCCUUCUCCUCUCUUUGGACCACCACCAAGCCACUCCUGGAGGAGGAAGUCUGGUUGGUUGUUUGCAUCAUCAAUUGCUAUUGACUGUUGCCCUCUAAGUUUCUGAAAAUUUCAUCAUGAUAAAAUGAGUUCAAUAUUGUGUGAAAACACCUAACAUAAACUCAGCUUCUAUUAGUUUCAUCUUUGGUUACUUACCAUGAAAAGGUUGUUCAUUAUGAUGCGUCCAUCUUCAAUAUGAGCUCUCAUAGCACUCAUGAGAGAUUUUUUGCUUAUCCGUAGUAUUUGAGAUAGUUCUGUUGUCCUAACGGUGAAAGGCUGUGGUGUAGAGCAUAAAACACCAAUCUCUCCAAAUGCAUCUCCAACUACUGCUUUGUCUUGUACCUACAUGAAUGUAACGAUUCUGGUUAGUCUUACUUAUUUGAUCAUAAAAAGAUUCUUUGUGGUUAAAUAUUUUGUCCACGUACCUGAUUUUCACCGUCAAUGUAAGCAGUAAAAUCCUGCAUAAUAACCACCAGAGAGAGAGAGAGUAAAAGAUGUUAGAAGGUAACUUAAACUUUUCUUUAUGUUUCAAACUAAAGUUACUCACCACGGCUCCUGAGACUAGAAUGUAAAGCUCAGUAGGAGCUUCGUUCUGUAGAAUCACAUCUUCUCUGGGUGGGAAGUACUCAGCAUCAAUAUCUGAAACCUUGGUCGGAAAAGGUAAACAGAGUUGGUAACUUUAUGGGACAAAAGAUUCUUGCAAGAAAAUGGACAAGAAAAGAGUUUUCAGAUGAGUGUUUUACCAACUGAAAGAGGAAGUUGCGAGAAACUCCUUCAAAGAGGUACACUUUCUGAAGGAUAUGGAUGAAUAGAUAGUUUGCAAUGCUUGACCGAAUCGCUUUAGGCAGACCAUUCAAAGUCUCCUGCUGUUUAAGACCCUCUGUCUUGAACUUCAAGCAAAUGUGUGAUAACAUCUGGUCUUGUAUGUUUGGUGGGAGUUGGUUUCUUGAUGCAAACUCCGAAGCAGCUCUAACAGUAUCUCUCUGUUGAAUCAUCUUUUCUUAUUAGUUUUAACUGAACAGAUGACGCAAAUUCGAAAGAAAGUGAGUGAAACUUACAAAGGUUCUGGUGCGGCUAGUCCAGUGAACAACUAGGUUGGUCAUGUUACCAAUCAGGUAAGAUGUGAAUCCCAAGUUGAAGAGCAUGUAAAAGACAUCAAACAACAUUUCUCUUGGAUUCUCAGCAUGUAAGUCUCCAUAUCCUGUUGUUGUUAAAGUUGUAAUUGACCAGUAGAGAGCGGUCACAUAUCUGCUCCAAAGGCUUGCCUCCUUGAAAUUUGGGUACACAGCUCCUAUCCAUGUUUUUCUUGGAUCAGGAUAUUGUUCUGCAAUGAGGUAGUUGAAGCAUCCAGCACAAUGUACUGCGAAAAGUGUGACCUAAUAUAGACAAGUAUACGUUAUUAGUUUCUUGUUACAGAAGAAAUGAACAGAGCUUUCCUCUGUUUUUUGAGACUUACCGAGAUGAGCUUUGUGCAACGCGUCCAGAAGUAGUUGAAGCGGAUGUCUUUCUCAAGCCUGAAGCAAAGGAACAAUGAGGGAGAGAGAGAGAGAGAAUAAGAACAUGAAAUUACAAAUGGUUUGCUUAUGUUUUAGUAUUGAAAAUGAACCUUGCAAAGAGGGAGCUAACUCGUCUUAGACGCCAGAGCCUGAGCAUGCUAAGAACUCUGAAUCCUAUUUCACUUCCAUUGUAGUUGAAUAGGAGACUCAGUGACUGGAACGGAGCUGUGGAGCAGACAUCAAAGGCAAACCAAGUAGAAAGGAUUGUCGACUAGAAGAUAAGAGUGGCUGUCUAGAUACGCAACGAAGAAGGUGAGAACAAUAUCAAUAGCAAAGAAGCCAUUGACAAUGUUGUCUACUAUGAAUAGUGCGUCUUUCUUGUAGGUGAUGAAUGCAAACUCAAAAGGACAAAUCCAAGCCGAGUAAAUGACAAGGAUGACCAGCCACAUCUCCCAUGCCCUGAAUCAAACGUUAAGCUAUAGUUCUAGAAGACAAGAAAACAAAGAUAUAUAUACACAUAAGAAGUGUGUCUAAAGAUGAUAAAACACCUGAAACGUGGAUCAAAAGGAGAGAUUAUGUGUUUGCGAAGCUUGGUUGAUUGGUUAAUUCUUGCUCCAAGAGAUGGCAAGAGAUCAGCAGAGAGGAAACUGCUGUGUUUUCUUGCGUCCAUAUUGUAUCCUUCGACGCAGAAUCUUUCAAAGAAGUUUCUAGUGCAAGAGAUUGACAUAUUCUUUG